GACGAACCGGUCGAACGUUACUCGGAAUUACUGGGUUUAAAGGGUGCGUAGGUGGGCAAGUAAGUCAGUGGUGAAAUCUCCGGGCUUAACCCGGAAACUGCCAUUGAUACUAUUUGUCUUGAAUACUGUGGAGGUCAGCGGAAUAUGUCAUGUAGCGGUGAAAUGCUUAGAUAUGACAUAGAACACCAAUUGCGAAGGCAGCUGGCUACACAAAUAUUGACACUGAGGCACGAAAGCGUGGGGAUCAAACAGG
rnacentral:rRNA from 1 species